UUUCAAUUCUAGGUGUGUCGAUCAACAGGAAACAGCGAGUGGUGCAUCCUCCUAAGCCAAAAGAAGCCUCUUUGGCUAUCAAAUGGGAAUGUAUUUAAUAUUUUCAUUAAUGGAAAAUUGGAUAAAGUUAUUUCAAUAGCAUUGCACUUUUCAUGCAAACUGGAGUCACUUCACCAGUAACAUGAAGAUUCUUUAUGUUCUGUUGUUAGCUAUUGGUGGGGAAUAUGAAUGAGCUCUCUCUCUCGCUCUCGCAUGCCCUACCUCUCUCUCACGCUCGCCAUCAUGGU